CGAUGAUCAGGGGAUCCGAGUGCCGCAUCUAUGCUGGCUGUACAGGUGUGUAAAAUACACAUGUUACAAGGGCCGGGCAAGACAGGUGCCAGCCGCCGCGGUAACACCGGCGGCCCGAGUGUGAUUGUGAUUAUUGGGUCUAAAAGGUCCGUAGCCGGUUGGUCAGUCCUCCGGGAAAUCUGAAGGCUUAACCGUUAGCUUUCUGGGGAUACUGCCAGGGUUUGAACCCGGGGAGGGAAAAGUACUAAAGGGGUAGGAGUGAAAUCUUGUAAUUCCUGGGGGACCACAUGUGGGGAAGGGGUCUUACCACAACGGGUUCUACAGUGAGGGAAAAAAGCUGGGGGCACGAACCCGAAUAAAAACCCGGGUAUUCCC
rnacentral:rRNA from 1 species